UACUACUAAUGAAACCUUGCCUUAGAGCAGUUGUCAAAUAUGAUGUGUUAUUUACAUCAACAGUGACUCAGGCAGCAUUUACUAUUUCCCCUUUAAACACAGCAGGACACUGCCUGCCCUCAGAGAUUUGUGGAUCCUAACCCUGCAGAUGGAUGGAUGGACCCAGGGCUGGUGAAUGGAAGGGAAAACAAUGCGCCGGGCAAGGGGAUGGGAGAGCACGCAGACCAGCAACCACAGCUCCACGUCAGUGUUUGGGUUGUGGAAGACCUUCAUAAACAUGGGAGCAGCAAGAACCUGUGUACCACAGGACAAAGAGCUUACUUUGUUUAAGUGCCACUGAUGGCAAUGGUUGCAUGCCACUGUUACUGUACACUUCAUGAAGGCUGAAUAAAGGUAGUCUUAAUACCCCC